rnacentral:snRNA from 1 species
AUCGCUUCUCGGCCUUUUGGCUAAGAUCAAGUGUAUUAUUUCUCUAUGCUUUCACUUCCUCUCAGCUAAUCAGCAAUCAUUUCUUGUUAAUAAUAUUUGUGUCAUCAUUU